rnacentral:rRNA from 1 species
UGCAAGUCGAGCGAAUGGAUUAAGAGCUUGCUCUUAUGAAGUUAGCGGCGGACGGGUGAGUAACACGUGGGUAACCUGCCCAUAAGACUGGGAUAACUCCGGGAAACCGGGGCUAAUACCGGAUAACAUUUUGAACCGCAUGGUUCGAAAUUGAAAGGCGGCUUCGGCUGUCACUUAUGGAUGGACCCGCGUCGCAUUAGCUAGUUGGUGAGGUAACGGCUCACCAAGGCAACGAUGCGUAGCCGACCUGAGAGGGUGAUCGGCCACACUGGGACUGAGACACGGCCCAGACUCCUACGGGAGGCAGCAGUAGGGAAUCUUCCGCAAUGGACGAAAGUCUGACGGAGCAACGCCGCGUGAGUGAUGAAGGCUUUCGGGUCGUAAAACUCUGUUGUUAGGGAAGAACAAGUGCUAGUUGAAUAAGCUGGCACCUUGACGGUACCUAACCAGAAAGCCACGGCUAACUACGUGCCAGCAGCCGCGGUAAUACGUAGGUGGCAAGCGUUAUCCGGAAUUAUUGGGCGUAAAGCGCGCGCAGGUGGUUUCUUAAGUCUGAUGUGAAAGCCCACGGCUCAACCGUGGAGGGUCAUUGGAAACUGGGAGACUUGAGUGCAGAAGAGGAAAGUGGAAUUCCAUGUGUAGCGGUGAAAUGCGUAGAGAUAUGGAGGAACACCAGUGGCGAAGGCGACUUUCUGGUCUGUAACUGACACUGAGGCGCGAAAGCGUGGGGAGCAAACAGGA